rnacentral:rRNA from 1 species
UACAGAGGGUGCAAGCGUUAAUCGGAAUUACUGGGCGUAAAGGGUGCGUAGGUGGUUUUUUAAGUCGUGUGUGAAAACCCUGGGCUUAACCUAGGAAUUGCAUAUGAAACUGAGAAGCUAGAGUGCAGUAGAGGGAAGUGGAAUUUCCGGUGUAGCGGUGAAAUGCGUAGAUAUCGGAAGGAACACCAGUGGCGAAGGCGACUUCCUGGACUGUUACUGACACUGAGGCACGAAAGCGUGGGGAGCGAACAGG